rnacentral:lncRNA from 1 species
UUUAGUCCAAUCUGAAAUACAGAGAGGACAAUUGUCCUUUGAGUUUAAUAGAGCUGUCUCUCUUUGAUAUUCACAGGGCUGGAGCAGCUCUAUGCAUUUGUUCUUGUUUUUGUCUUGACUUAAGGCUGUUUGAGAGAUGCUCAUGUCAGAGAGAGAAGAGCCAUGGCUGAUGUCUGUUGGACUUGAUGGUUUUAGAGUUCUUUUCCAACCCAAAUGAUCCCAUGAUUCAACUGUAUUUAUUGCCAGCGUUAGACAAGGGGUAACAGAAUUAGGAUUUAAAAAGUAAUCAUAAGAUACCUGGGGAAGCAGCAAAGCUAUGGACAUGGGGGAACUCAUCUUCACACCCACCUAUAAAUUCCUGCUCAUGUUCUCAGGUCGUGUACCUGCUGGGAAGUGGGAAAGUGAAGGUGCCUCUAGCAAUGGUAGGACAGAGCAGUGAGGUUUGGGACUUCUCCCCUCUGCAGGGCUUAGCAGCACGAUCACAGGGAACCUGUGAGACUGGCUUGCAAAUGCCCCAGCUGUCCUCCAUCUCUCACACCUGCACACAUUUAUCCCAUAAUUCUUCACUUCGUUUGCUGCUGCUGCUGCCGGUGGUGGGAGAGAAAUUCCGACCAGCAUCUCUGGGGUCGUCCUUUAUCGUCAGAGGAAAACGGUUCGACAAAGAUAAGCAGGAAAAUAACUUCUCGGAGCUUCUCCUGAGGAAUGCAUUUCUGAACAAAAAAGUGGUUUUACUGAAUUAA